AUACGUAGGGGGCGAGCGUUGUCCGGAAUGAUUGGGCGUAAAGGGCGCGUAGGCGGCCCGGUAAGUCUGGAGUGAAAGUCCUGCUUUUAAGGUGGGAAUUGCUUUGGAUACUGUCGGGCUUGAGUGCAGGAGAGGUAAGUGGAAUUCCCAGUGUAGCGGUGAAAUGCAUAGAGAUUGGGAGGAACACCAGUGGCGAAGGCGACUUACUGGACUGUAACUGACGCUGAGGCGCGAAAGUGUGGGGAGCAAACAGGAUUAGAUACCCUGGUAGUCCACACUGUAAACGAUGAAUGCUAGGUGUAGGGGGUAUCGACCCCUUCUGUGCCGCAGUUAACACAAUAAGCAUUCCGCCUGGGGAGUACGGCCGCAAGGUUGAAACUCAAAGGAAUUGACGGGG
rnacentral:rRNA from 1 species